UGCAAGGUGCUGCAUGGGUUGUCGUCAGCUCGUGCCGUGAGGUGUCGGGUUAAGUCCCAUAACGAGCGCAACCCUUAUCGUUAGUUGCCAUCUGGUAAUGCAGGGGACUCUAGCGAAACUGCCACCGUAAGGUGAGAGGAAGUGGGAUGAUGUCAAAUCAGCAGGCCCUUAUGUCCAGGGCUACACACGUGUUACAAUGGUCGGUACAGAGGGCAGCUACCUGGUGACAGGAUGCUAAUCUCGAAAACCGGUCUCAGUUCGGAUCGAAGUCUGCAACUCGACUUCGUGAAGCUGGAAUCUGUAGUAAUCGUGUCUCAAAAUGGCACGGUGAAUAUGUCCCUGCUCCUU
rnacentral:rRNA from 1 species